UUCACAGCCUUCCAAGCCAGAACGCGGCAGCAAAACGCGAUUGGCUGGGGUUGCCUGUCUGGCCUUAUUUAGAAAGCUCUCGAGGAACUGGGAACCUCGAGCGUGGAACCUAGAGUUUGCUUGGCGUUUUGAGGACUGGCUGCCUGGCUACACUGCGGUUCUGGUCAAGCCGAGCAUUUAAAGGGACACGGAAGUUUGUCCUGCUGAGGAGGCAGUCAGGGGCGGCUCCAUCUUGGGCCUACGGGUUUAUUUCACCUGUGCCUUCAAACUUUUAUUAACGUAUUCCAAGUGCAUUUGUGGAAGACGUACUGGACGGGUCAGCGUAGAUGGUGUGGAGCAGGAAAGGUUCGUGCAGCCUAGUGGGUAACUUCACUGCUGCCUUCACAAGCCUGUCCUGGAGACCAGCACUUAAACAAUUAACUUGUAACACGGAGAUGCUCACUGAUAUAUUCUGAGAAUUCUGUCAGUGCCCACUAUGUGCCAGGGAGACAAAGAGUCCGCUUGAGACAGAGGCGUUAAAAAAAACAAAUAAUGACAAAACCAGUUAUUUUCCUCAUGGAGUAGAGAGAAGAGUAGCAGUCUGAAUGAGUCACUUCUUGUCCUAUGCAGAAGCUGGAGGUUUCAGAAGUCUACAUAAGCAUUUAUGGGGAAUAUUGCAGAGAUGUGAUCCAUGGGUCAUGUGGAUUCCUGCUUGAGACCAGGUUAUCAGCAAAGAAGAGAGCGUCCAAGGUAGGGAGAUGGUUUCCAGACCAAAUCCAAUUGAUGAGUGGUGCCUAGGUGGCUCAGUCGGUUAAGUGUCCAACUCUUGAUUUCGGCUCAGGUCCUGAUCUCAUGGUUGGUGAGUCCCCACCUUGUAGGACUGCACACUGACAGCCCACGGAGCCUGCUUGGGAUUCUUUCUGCUGUUUCUGUCCCUCCCCUGCUCGCGUGUGUGUGUGCGCUCUCUCUCUCUCUCUCUCUCUCUCUCUUUCAAGAUAAAUAAAUAAACAUUUAAAAAAUGCA
rnacentral:lncRNA from 1 species